AUGUACCACGCGUACACUGCGGUUCUGAGCGCGCCGUCCGCGCCCACCUGACGACUGCUCACUACGUUUUGUUAGCC
rnacentral:sRNA from 1 species